AUUGAACGCUGGCGGCAUGCUUUACACAUGCAAGUCGAACGGUAACAGGGUGCUUGCACCGCUGACGAGUGGCGAACGGGUGAGUAAUGCGUCGGAACGUGCCGAGUAGUGGGGGAUAACGCAUCGAAAGGUGUGCUAAUACCGCAUACGUACUGAGGUAGAAAGUGGGGGACCUUCGGGCCUCACGCUAUUCGAGCGGCCGACGUCUGAUUAGCUAGUUGGUGAGGUAAAGGCUCACCAAGGCGACGAUCAGUAGCGGGUCUGAGAGGAUGAUCCGCCACACUGGGACUGAGACACGGCCCAGACUCCAACGGGAGGCAGCAGUGGGGAAUUUUGGACAAUGGGCGCAAGCCUGAUCCAGCCAUGCCGCGUGUCUGAAGAAGGCCUUCGGGUUGUAAAGGACUUUUGUCCGGGAGCAAAUACCCAGUGCUAAUAACGCUGGGGGCUGAGAGUACCGGAAGAAUAAGCACCGGCUAACUACGUGCCAGCAGCCGCCGCGG
rnacentral:rRNA from 1 species